GAUGAACGCUAGCGACAGGCUUAACACAUGCAAGUCGAGGGGCAGCACGGGAGUAGCAAUACAACUGGUGGCGACCGGCGCACGGGUGAGUAACGCGUAUGCAACCUACCUAUCAGAGGGGAAUAACCCGGCGAAAGUCGGACUAAUACCGCAUAAAACAGGGGCACCGCAUGGUGAUAUGUGUUAAAGAAAUUCGCUGAUAGCUGGGCAUGCGUUCCAUUAGGUAGUUGGUGAGGUAACGGCUCACCAAGCCGACGAUGGAUAGGGGAACUGAGAGGUUGGUCCCCCACACUGGUACUGAGACACGGACCAGACUCCUACGGGAGGCAGCAGUGAGGAAUAUUGGUCAAUGGGCGGGAGCCUGAACCAGCCAAGUCGCGUGAAGGAAGAAGGAUCUAUGGUUCGUAAACUUCUUUUGCAGGGGAAUAAAGUGCAGGACGUGUCCUGUUUUGUAUGUACCCUGAGAAUAAGGAUCGGCUAACUCCGUGCCAGCAGCCGCGGUAACAC
rnacentral:rRNA from 1 species